GCUCAGCCGUCAACAAAGAUAGUAUAAAAUACAGUGCUAUUCGCCAGAGAACUACAAGCAAAGACUCAAAACUCUAAGGACUUGGCGGUGCUCCACAUCAACCUAGAGGAGCCUGUCCUAUAAUCGAUACCCCACGAUCUACCUCACCGCUUUUUGAAGUUCAGCCUAUAUACCGCCGUCGUCAGCUUACCUUAUGAAAGAAGCAAAGUAGGCAAAAUAGUCACCAACUAAAACGUCAGGUCAAGGUGUAGCACAUAAAGUGGAAGAGAUGGGCUACACUCUCUCCCUCAGAGAACACGAACAGCAUCAAUGAAACCCUGCUCAAAGGUGGAUUUAGCAGUAAGAUAAACAAGAGAACUUAUCUUAAACCAGCCCUGGAGCGCGC
rnacentral:rRNA from 1 species